CGGGGGGCAGCAGUGAGGAAUAUUGGUCAAUGGGCGCAAGCCUGAACCAGCCAUGCCGCGUGCAGGAAGAAUGCCCUAUGGGUUGUAAACUGCUUUUAUCAGGGAAUAAACCUCUUUACGUGUAGAGAGCUGAAGGUACCUGAUGAAUAAGCACCGGCUAACUCCGUGCCAGCAGCCGCGGUAAUACGGAGGGUGCAAGCGUUAUCCGGAAUCAUUGGGUUUAAAGGGUCCGCAGGCGGGAAUAUAAGUCAGUGGUGAAAUCUCAUAGCUUAACUAUGAAACUGCCAUUGAUACUGUAUUUCUUGAAUUCGGUCGAAGUGGGCGGAAUAUGACAUGUAGCGGUGAAAUGCAUAGAUAUGUCAUAGAACACCGAUAGCGAAGGCAGCUCACUAGGCCUGGAUUGACGCUCAGGGACGAAAGCGUGGGGAGCAAACAGGAUUAGAUACCCCAGU
rnacentral:rRNA from 1 species